rnacentral:lncRNA from 1 species
AAGAAAUAAGUGAUAGAAAAUUGUUCGGUCAAGAUCUUGUGGAGAAGACUAUAGCCAAAAUAGUUAAGAUCAUGAAGAACAUCUAGACGGCUCAGAGUAGGCAGAAGAGUUAUGCGGAUACUCGGAGGAGGGAUUUGAAAUUUGAAAAAGGUUAUCGAGUGUUCCUUAGGUCACUCCUUUCAAGGGAAUCAUUAGUUUUGGUAAGAGGGGGAAACUAAAUCCCCGUUUAUUAGGCUAUUUAAAAGACAAAAUUAGCCCCGCCACCUACAGACUGACACUAACUUCAGAACAAUCCAGGAUCCAUAACGUGUUUCAUGUGUUCAUGCUAUACAAGUACAACCCAGACCCCUCUAAUGUCUUGGCCCACGAGUCCCUUUUACUCUAG